rnacentral:lncRNA from 1 species
GAGGAAAGUACUGGCUUCGACUUCUCUUCCUAUGGGAGAGUUGGGGCUUUGCUGGGGAGCGCUGGUAGCUUUGCUGGGCAGGAACAAGGAUUGCCAUCUGGGGGAGGGCUGGGGUGAGCUGGAAGGCUGCUAGCACAGCCUGAGGGAAAAAGAGGGUGGUACCUCUCAAAGUAUCUCACUCCCUCCAAAAAUACGUCCGUACUUCAUGGGUGCGAAUGCAGCUCAGGAAGAAAUUUCUAAGCUAGCAUUAAAUUCGCAUGCAGGAGCAUCUGUACCACCUGCAAGGUCUGAAAAAUCCUGCCAGAAUGUUGGCAGACUGAAAGGCUGUUUCAAAUGAUCACCACUUGAGAUGAUCAGGAAACGUUCAGCUUGACUGAUGGCAUGAGAGUAGCAGUUCUGCCCUGACAUUGGUUCGGUGAAGGACUGAAGUAGGCUUUUCAUUUUAUGCAUGUGAGGAACGCUGCUGACCUCAGCAGGACUGCGCAUGCCUUCAGAGGCCAAACCCCUUGGAUUUGGACCAGAAUGGCCACUUUUGUGGAGGCAGAUAUAUCUGUGGAGAGAAGGAAAGUAGCACAUAUCCUGGUCAUGCCUUUUUUUUUUUUUUUUUUUUUUUUUUUUUUUCCCAGGGAAAACAAUAAUAAGCAGUAACACUCUUUCUGCUGCAGGCUGUACGCUAUCCUGCAAUGGCUGGGAAAGCUGGCAUUGUCCCGUAAAUAAGGAGCAGCUCUUGGAUGCAAAAAGUCACCUCUGUGCAAAUUUCACGCUGCUUCAGGUCUUCCUUUUGGGGGGCAGAUUCCUCAGAAGGAAGUAAGAAGGCAAGCCCGGUGUCAUGUGGAAUAGCUGAAAUUCCUCAAGUUCCUUUUUGCCAGGAUUUCAAGCUGUGAAAGACACAUGAUCUCCACUGCUCGAGCCUGUAACUGAGGAUUUUCCCCAACAAAGAUGAAUAGGUAGCUGUACAAUUUUUAUUUUAUUUUCUUUUCCUACAUCUGCCAAAAGCCAUAGUAGAUUGUGAGUUAAAUCAUUAUCAGGGCCUGCAUUUGGAAGCAGAAACCUCAGAUGGGGCUUAUCAAAAGGAAUAUGUUACUCCUUAGCCUCAGGAACUGAUCUGGCCUACGGUUGCUUUUAGAGAAAAAUACAAUUAAUUUGAAUUCUGGCUCAUUUUCUGCCAUUCACGUGUCACAGCACUCCUUGAAACUGCAGGUUGGGGUCUAGUGGCCUCAAACCCGUUAUUGCUGUAUUUGGUCUCAGUCAGGGGCCAGUAACAAGCUGUAUCUAUAAAUCUCUCUUGUAUGUCUGUAGCAGGAGUGGCUGCCUGUUUUCGUACUGAUAGGUAAUGAAGUUUAAGUACUGAACAGCUUCAUGCUGAGAUUUGCUGAUUCAUCAGGAGUCUAUGAGAUGGGUGAAAGGAGAAGCUUCACUCCUUGCUACACCAGUGAUUUGCUAAUUGUCCAGCCCAGUCCAUCACCCGAUUAACCAAAGAGGCACUGCCAUUUUGGGAGAGGAGAGGACUGUCAAUAAACUGUGAAAAGGAGUGUUGAAACUGCCUCUU